rnacentral:rRNA from 1 species
CCAAUAGCGUAUAUUAGAGUUGUUGCAGUUAAAAAGCUCGUAGUUGAAUUUCGGGGUUAGUAGGUUGGUCGUGCCUCAGGUAUGUACUGAUCUCACUGAUUCCUCCUUCCUGAUGAACCGUAAUGCCAUUAAUUUGGUGUUGCGGGGAAACUGGACUGUUACUUUGAAAAAAUUAGAGUGUUUAAAGCAGGCUAACGCUUGAAUACAUUAGCAUGGAAUAAUGAAAUAGGACGUUCGAUCCUAUUUUGUUGGUUUCUAGGAUUGACGUAAUGAUUAAUAGGGAUAGUUGGGGGCAUUAGUAUUCAAUUGUCAGAGGUGAAAUUCUUGGAUUUAUUGAAGACUAACUACUGCGAAAGCAUUUGCCAAGGAUGUUUUCAUUAAUCAAGAACGAAAGUUAGGGGAUCGAAGACGAUCAGAUACCGUCGUAGUCUUAACCAUAAACUAUGCCGACUAGGGAUCGGAUGAUGUUAAUUUUUUAAUGACUCAUUCGGCGCCUUACG